rnacentral:rRNA from 1 species
CUACGGAGGGUGCAAGCGUUAUCCGGAAUCAUUGGGUUUAAAGGGUCCGUAGGCGGGCUAUUAAGUCAGAGGUGAAAUCCCACAGCUUAACUGUGGAACUGCCUUUGAUACUGGUAGUCUUGAGUUAUAUGGAAGUAGAUAGAAUGUGUAGUGUAGCGGUGAAAUGCAUAGAUAUUACACAGAAUACCGAUUGCGAAGGCAGUCCACUACGUAUAUACUGACGCUAAGGGACGAAAGCGUGGGGAGCGAACAGGAUUAGAAACCCUUGUAGUCC